CAGUAGCCGCGGUAAUACGUAGGGUGCAGCGUUAAUCGGAAUUACUGGGCGUAAAGCGCACGUAGGCGGCUUUGUAAGUCAGAGGUGAAAGCCUGGAGCUCAACUCCAGAACUGCCUUUGAGACUGCAUCGCUUGAAUCCAGGAGAGGUGAGUGGGAUUCCGAGUGUAGAGGUGAAAUUCGUAGAUAUUCGGAAGAACACCAGAGGCGAAGGCGGCUCACUGGACUGGUAUUGACGCUGAGGUGCGAAAGCGUGGGGAGCGAACAGGAUUAGAGACCCCGGUAGUCCCUGUCUCUUAUACC
rnacentral:rRNA from 1 species